rnacentral:rRNA from 1 species
ACUCCUACGGGAGGCAGCAGUAAGGAAUAUUGGUCAAUGGGGGCAACCCUGAACCAGCCAUGCCGCGUGCAGGAAGACGGCCCUCUGGGUUGUAAACUGCUUUUAUCCGGGAAUAAACCCCCUUACGUGUAAGGGGCUGAAUGUACCGGAAGAAUAAGGAUCGGCUAACUCCGUGCCAGCAGCCGCGGUAAUACGGAGGAUCCAAGCGUUAUCCGGAUUUAUUGGGUUUAAAGGGUGCGUAGGCGGCCUGUUAAGUCAGGGGUGAAAGACGGUGGCUCAACCAUCGCAGUGCCUUUGAUACUGACGGGCUUGAAUACACUUGAAGUAGGCGGAAUGUGACAAGUAGCGGUGAAAUGCAUAGAUAUGUCACAGAACACCGAUUGCGAAGGCAGCUUACUAAGGUGCAAUUGACGCUGAGGCACGAAAGCGUGGGGAUCAAACAGGAUUAGAUACCCUGGUAGUCCACGCCCUAAACGAUGAAUACUCGAUGUUAGCGAUAUACAGUUAGCGUCUAAGCGAAAGCGUUAAGUAUUCCACCUGGGGAGUACGCCCGCAAGGGUGAAACUCAAAGGAA